rnacentral:tRNA from 1 species
UCUAAUAUGGCAGAAAUUUAUGCAAUGGAUUUAAACCCCAUUUAUAAAGAAUAAUUCUUUUUUUAGAA